CGAUGGUAGGAUAGAGGCCUACCAUGGUGGUAACGGGUAACGGGGUGUUAGGGCACGAUACCGGAGAGGGAGCCUGAGAAACGGCUACCACAUCCAAGGAUGGCAGCAGGCGCGCAAAUUACCCAAUCCCGACACGGGGAGGUAGUGACAAUAAAUAACAAUACGGGGUUCUUUAGGAUUUCGUAAUUGGAAUGAGUACAAUUUAAAUCUCUUAACGAGGAACAAUUGGAGGGCAAGUCUGGUGCCAGCAGCCGCGGUAAUUCCAGCUCCAAUAGCGUAUAUUAAAGUUGUUGCAGUUAAAAAGCUCGUAGUUGAAUUUCGGGGUUAGUAGGUUGGUCAUGCCUCUGGUAUGUACUGGUCUCACUGAUUCCUCCUUCCUGAUGAACCUUAAUGCCAUUAAUUUGGUGUUUUGGGGAAUUUGGACUGUUACUUUGAAAAAAUUAGAGUGUUUAAAGCAAGCUAACGCUUGAAUACAUUAGCAUGGAAUAAUGAAAUAGGACGUUCGAUCCUAUUUUGUUGGUUUCUAGGAUUGACGUAAUGAUUAAUAGGGAUAGUUGGGGGCAUUAGUAUUCAAUUGUCAGAGGUGAAAUUCUUGGAUUUAUUGAAGACUAACUACGGCGAAAGCAUUUGCCAAGGAUGUUUUCAUUAAUCAAGAACGAAAGUUAGGGGAUCGAAGACGAUCAGAUACCGUCGUAGUCUUAACCAUAAACUAUGCCGACUAGGGAUCGGAUGAUGUUAAUUUUUUAAUGACUCNUUCGGCGCCUUACGGGGAAACCAAAGUGGUUUGGG
rnacentral:rRNA from 1 species